GACGAACGCUGGCGGCGUGCUUAACACAUGCAAGUCGAACGGUAAGGCCCUUCGGGGUACACGAGUGGCGAACGGGUGAGUAACACGUGGGUGAUCUGCCCUGCACUUCGGGAUAAGCCUGGGAAACUGGGUCUAAUACCGGAUAGGACCACUGCCUGCAUGGGUGGUGGUGGAAAGCUUUUGCGGUGUGGGAUGGGCCCGCGGCCUAUCAGCUUGUUGGUGGGGUGAUGGCCUACCAAGGCGACGACGGGCAGCCGGCCUGGGAGGGUGACCGGCCACGCUGGGACUGAGAUACGGCGCGGACGCCUACGGGAGGCAGCGGUGGGGAAUAUUGCACAAUGGGCGCAAGCCUGAUGCAGCGACGCCGCGUGAGGGAUGACGGCCUUCGGGUUGUAAACCUCUUUCAGCACCGACGAAGGGCAAGUGACGGUAGGUGCAGAAGAAGGACCGGCCAACUACGUGCCAGCCGCCGCCGUAA
rnacentral:rRNA from 1 species